CCGUGAACCUUUACUAUAGCUUGACACUGAACAUUGAGCCUUGAUGUGUAGGAUAGGUGGGAGGCUUUGAAGUGUGGACGCCAGUCUGCAUGGAGCCGACCUUGAAAUACCACCCUUUAAUGUUUGAUGUUCUAACGUGGACCCGUGAUCCGGGUUGCGGACAGUGUCUGGUGGGUAGUUUGACUGGGGCGGUCUCCUCCUAAAGAGUAACGGAGGAGCACGAAGGUUGGCUAAUCCUGGUCGGACAUCAGGAGGUUAGUGCAAUGGCAUAAGCCAGCUUGACUGCGAGCGUGACGGCGCGAGCAGGUGCGAAAGCAGGUCAUAGUGAUCCGGUGGUUCUGAAUGGAAGGGCCAUCGCUCAACGGAUAAAAGGUACUCCGGGGAUAACAGGCUGAUACCGCCCAAGAGUUCAUAUCGACGGCGGUGUUUGGCACCUCGAUGUCGGCUCAUCACAUCCUGGGGCUGAAGUAGGUCCCAAGGGUAUGGCUGUUCGCCAUUUAAAGUGGUACGCGAGCUGGGUUUAGAACGUCGUGAGACAGUUCGGUCCCUAUCUGCCGUGGGCGCUGGAGAACUGAGGGGGGCUGCUCCUAGUACGAGAGGACCGGAGUGGACGCAUCACUGGUGUUCGGGUUGUCAUGCCAAUGGCACU
rnacentral:rRNA from 1 species